GUGCUUGCUUUGGAAGCACAUAUAGUAAAACUGGAAUGAUACCAAGAUUAGCAUGACUCCUGGACGUGGAUGAUAUACAAAUUUGUGAAGUUUCCCAUAUUUUU
rnacentral:snRNA from 1 species